GAAAAAAAAAAAGAACACGCCACCAGACUCCUCGCCGCCGCGGUGCUUCUUUCGACGCCGUCCCGCCGAAGCAGCGCGCUCUCCCGUUUCUCCCCGACUCCGUCCGCGGAAGCAGAAAGCCCCCGUCCCGCUUCUACCCGACUCCUUCCGUGGAAGCAGAAAAUCCCCGUCCCGCUUCUCCCCGACGGCUGACGACUGCGCGUCCCCUCCUGACGGCGAGGCGGCAGCGCGGAGAAGGGGAGGGGCGGCGAGUCGGGUGCUCGGAGCAGGCACCCAGUCGCGGUGGAGCAGUUGCAGUCGACAAGGCCACGGCAAGUUUUCUCCCAAAUCCCAAACCCCCAGGAGUGACAGCGCGUUAGGUUUUGCCCAACGACGGCGCCCUCGCCCUGCGGCUGCGGGCAGGGCACCCGCGACGCCGGACCACUAGACCGCCGUUGCACCGAGGUCGCAACCCUAACUUCCCCACCGGCCGCACAGCCAACGUUCUCGUAGUCCUUUGAUCUUAGCCAGACAGUAGGAUGGAUGGAAAUGCUGAAGCUGAUUCUACCCUUAUUUUCGACAAAGAAACAUUGGAUAAAGUCUAUGAAAAAGUGGCUCCAUCGAUUGUGAAAGUCUUGGUAAAACCAUUUAGCACGGGAUUUGUUGUCUCGUCCACAGAGAAACAUAACAUGGUAGCUGUUUGUUCCAUGUUGUUAAUUGAGCGCAAAGAGAAGAUACAAGUCCGUUAUUCUGAUGGAGAUACUGCUGUUGUUGAUCAUACUGAAAAAGUCUCUAACAGUGGCAUGACUAUACUGUAUGCACGUAAAACUGGAAAGGCACGCCAGCAGUACAAUUUGGAGUCUUGGAGGAUAUCAUAUGCCAAAAGAUUGUGAGUCUUUUUCCUUACAAGGACGGCCUCAUGAUGUUCAAAGGUCACAUAGGUUUAGAUGAUUGUACCUGUGAGGAUUCCAGUGGGAACAUUAUUCCAGGCCAAAAUGUCUUCUCAUUCACUUGUCCUGUGGGGGGUUCUUACUCGAAAGAUCCUGACACAGAUUCUGAUAUUAAGAAACGAUUCAUGGUACUGACUAUUGGUGCUCCUGUGUUUAACUUGGAUGGUGAAGUUCUUGGCAUGAUUGAUUGGUUUAGCCGAUCAUAUGAUCUGAAAUUUGCAAGAAAAUCAUCUGAGUUUCGUGAUGAACUUAAUAAACCAGGACGUGUGAACUGGCAGGGGGGGAGCCGUGGUGCAGGGCAGAGAUUGUGAGAGCUUGCAAGUUGUCUUCCUACUUUCACGGUAAAUCUGAGGCCAAAUAAGAAGCUGGGUUCCUGGCACUCAACUGUUGGAGGGCGAGCAGUCCGGUGAUCUAUGAGUCAACCUGCAGAAGUGCCACGCAUCAGUUGGAUCAGUUGUCUUGGCAUCGGGGAUAACCUCAGUUAUCUUUGAGUGACUGGUUGGUCCGUCCUAGUUUGUUAACUUGUGUUGAACCUUAUUUCCUUCGUUGAUUUAGGUCAUGUCCUGGUUUAUCACCCCUUGCUUGGUGUUGAACCUUAUGACCUCCGUUGAUUUAAGUCAUGUCCUAGUUUAUCAACUCCUUGCUGGGUGUUGAACCCUAUUACCUGAUUGUGUAUGUGAUAUCCUAAUUAUUUACCCUCUGCUGGGUGUUGAACCUUGAUAGUUGGUUGGUUUA